CAAAAAAAAAAGAAGAAAAUUUUUUUCCACGGUAGUAUAAUAUUUGGUUGUUAGUCGCGUAUAUGUGCACGCGGGCGUAUCGCGUAAAAUACAUAUUAAGAAGCAAAAACGUCGGCAAAGUAUUUUCGCUACAAAAUAAUUCCACGAAAGUAGCGUGCAAAGGACGAUCUUAAUAUUUAAUCCAACCGUGCGUUCUUCGGAGCUCGACUUUUUCUCAACGAGUACAACGAUAAAAGGGCCCUUUGAAGAAGGCGGAAAAGCGUUUAAUUAUCCGCCUGCUCCUAACAUUUCCAUGUAAUGCGAAUCUUCGAGGCAUAAAAAGGAUUUACGUUUAUCGAAGAUUCGCCCGUUUCUACCCAGCUAUACGAGAUACUCGAGAAAUCACGAGGGAACAUUACAUAGCCUUUUUUCUUCUUUUUUAUUUUAACUCACAAUUUCAUUCUGCAGCGUCGUUGGCGUGGUCGACAUACAAAAAUAACGAUUUAAAAGAAAUAAAAAUUGUCGUCGUUUCAUCGACAAAUAGGAAUGUAUUUUUCCUUCGUACAGAGGACGGAGACACAAAUCGUUUUAGUAUAUUCUAUGUAUAUUGUAUGAUUAGCGAAACAAGACUCUUUCUUACUCUCUUACGUGGCAGCUAUGUAUGCAUGAGAAAAGAAGCGACUUGCGGUUCGUUCAUGAAUAAUGCGUUAAAUGAACGUUUAUAUUUGCGAAUGAAGGAAGCAACACCAACCACCGUGUGUCUCUUAUUCCAAAAUCCUCGCUAAACGUCACGCGCUUCUGACUUUUCCGCCGAGAAUGAGUUUAAAUCUAAAUAAAAUUUUCCCUUCCUUUUUCUGCAUUUUUAUUCUACGUGCAAUCAAUAAUUGCUCGAAAGACCAUUCUUUCUCUGUUUGUACAAAUAUUUCUAUUGUCUUCAGUAUUAUCUUUCCUCUGGGAGAAGAGAAAGUACGUACGAGAGUAAUGAAAAUUUUGUUUCCUCCUGAUAUUAAGUUUACGAACAUCUUUCCAGUCUUUCUCACUUUUAAUUCGGCCAAACUUUGUCUCUCUCUAUCUCUCUCCUUUUCGGUUUCUCUAUUCAUUUUCCUCUUUUUUCAUUGUUAUACCAGCAAAACGGCGCACGUGGCAAGGGACGAAAUAAAGAAGCAAAACCCGACGGAAGGAUACAGGGUGAAGAGGCAAAAGGUGGUGGAAACAUUGCGCGCUCUUAGAUCUCGGCUUGUGCAACUUUAAAGUAGUUCGUGUCUAGCCUGGGUAUAUAAAGGGUCUAUAUGCUGUGUAUGCGAGUGCUAUAAACGUUUCUGCUUAUACCGGCUAUGCUCGUUUAUUUAUGAGUUAUCCGAGCAACCACUAGUGUGAUAUCAAGUCCGAUUUCUUGCUUUCCUACCGUCGCGUUAGACCUACAUACAUACGUGUGGAUUUCGUAAUGCCUGUCUUUUCCAAUAUACAACUAUACGUAUGCGUUUAUCUAUGCCCGUGUACGAGUACACGCGUGUAUAAGUAUAUACAUGUGUGUGUGCGUGUGCUCGUAUAAAUACACACAUACAUACAUACAUACAUACACACAUACAUACACACACACACAUAUAUAUAUAUAUAUAUAUAUGUAUAUAUAUAUGUAUAUAUCGUAAGGACGAUUUAUCGUAUCGAUCGUUGCGCAAUUCUACCGUCAGUAUCCUCCUCUUUCACCUCCCCUUAACCCUCUUGUUUCCUUAUCUCGGUUAAAGGAAACCAUCCACUUCCUUUCUCGAUCGACUUAUCCCCGAUAGAAUCGCGUCGAUGUUCUCUAUUUACGAAGGAAAUUUACCUGAUAUCGCAACUAUCAAAGCAAAUAACAGAAUCACGGAAUUAACGAUUGCAUUCGUGUUCGUUCGUUUCAUUAUAGUUUUCCAUUGUUUUCCGAUCAGCUAUCGAAAAUAGUCGUAUAGAUAGGUUUUUCGACGACGACGGCCGCAGCGCAUAGAUUAUUCUUCUUAUCGCUUCCGAUUCUUGUUACGUUCGUUGUUCGUUCAACGCGAAUGUAAUAAAGGCCGAUGGAUAACAAUGGAUCGAACGAAACCGUACUCGAAAACAAUAGACAAAAUUACAAUCGUUGCGGAUAGCUUUGUUAUACGAGAGUAAGAGAGAGAGAGAGAGAGAGAAAGCGUUCCCUUCCUGUAAAACUUAAGCUUGCGCCAGUACUUUUAUACAAUAUGUAUUUAAGAAAUUCGCACGAACGAAUCCUCUAAAGAAUCUUUGCUUUUCUUUGAAUUUCUCAAAAUAGGAGAGUGGUGUUAACCCCUUGAUCGAUACAAAGGUACCGUCGUCUACACGUACAUUUUCAAUUUUGUACCGCCCUCAUAUUUUCGUUAAUAUAAGCCUUCUCUUGUUAUUUUAACGAUAGAUUAAUUUGCUCGUUGAACAUGAAGAUAUCUUUGUUGGUUCUACGACGUUUUGUAAAUUAGUUUAGUAGCACUGCGGUAACUUACUACUCAAAGAGUUAAGGAGCUAGCGGUCCGGUACCGACAACUCUGGCAUCUUCGUCCACGUAAACGGUAACGCGGUCUAACUACUCUAACCUUCUCUUAAGCCUUGAUAUUCUCCGUAGAGAGAGUACUCCUUGCGGAAUAUCAGAACUACUAUAUGUUACGUCGCGCCGUGCGUACGAAUAUACACAAGAAUUAUUUCCGUGUUCGCUCGAAAGGUCUCUACUACGGUAAAACGUUAAGUACACCUUCCACCCCUUCCUUUUUAUUCCACCGACUUUGGCGUCAACCAGAACGGUACGUGUACAUGUAUAGCUUUAUGAAAAGCACCGUCCAACGUUCGGUCGACUCAUUAGAAAUCUCAUAUAUUCGGAUAAGAGCUUUCCUGCGCCUUUAGAAAAGAGAUCUCAAAGCUUUGACCGUUCGUACGUGUCCGCUGGAAACCUGCUGCCGUCUCAACGAACGGCACCAUUCGCAUGGGAGUCGACUAUAAAUCGCCAAUAAAAUGUAUUUCUCAGCGACUUCAAUUUUUCUUUAUUCCUUUAUUUUGCAUCUGUCGUCAUUGUUUUUCUCUUUCUUUUCAUACAAAUUGUAAUAAAAUCUCAUACGUUUUAGCAAAUUAUGACCGAUUUUUCGUUGAUCUAAUAAAAUUCCUCAGGAUGCGAGCAUGACAUUACGUACGUGGAUAUAUUAAAGUUUUUAUCUUUCGACAUAGGGAAUGCUCUUCAUACCAAUAUGGUUAUGUAUAUUUGAACGAUAUACAUGCAUGCGUACAUAGAACGGACAUUGAAAUUGCGCCGCUUGUAUUUUACGUUAAACGACACGUCGAUUUCCAAUUUUGCGCGUUGGCGAUUCAAUUUCAAUGCUUCGAACGAUAAAGAGAACAAGAGACAGUCAUGGAUUGUACACGUUCUCUCGUUUAUAAAAUAAUGUCGCUCGAUUUGCAUCGAGGUUCAUUAAUGAGUUUUAUAUUAAUCAUUUCUACUUUAUUUUUCAAACAUUCGGCAUAUGGGCGCCGAGAGCACUGCGAAGUGCAUAGAGCAAUUCGUUAAUUUCUAUCGCGAUAUACGAUUUGCAGGAAAAUCGGAAGCAUGUGAGAGUGACGUUGCCACGCGAGAGAGAGAGAGAGAGAGAGAGAGAGAGAGAGAGAGACCUAGGUGGAGGGACCCGAAAGGGGAAACAGUUAUCGUUCCCUCAGGCUCGAUAGAAACAAACUUAUCGAAGAAUAAAUUAGAAAUAUGAAAUUUCGAAUGAAAAUUUUGGCGUGUUGAUUCGAUUAAAUCUCAUGUCGCUAGUACGGUGCUAAUUAUCAUCUAGGUGCCAAAUGAAGUCAUGUUGCUCUUUCAUCUCUAUACGACCCCCCCCCCCUCUCUCUCUCUCUGCCUCUCGCCGCAUGGGUAUAAUAACUAUCGCAUUAAUACCAAUAGAGGUUUUUAAAAAAGAGAAAUCGCGUUAGGGUAAACGCAUCGCGUAAAUCGCGAGUCUAACGAUAAUACGUCACGAUUACGAUGUAGUGCGAUAAAUUCGACGAUGGGACGAUUUAUUAUCGGGAGUGCCAGAAAAAUCGUAUCAUCCGUUAUAUUUCGACCUUCGACCGAUUUCCUUCUUUCGAGCAACUUCCUUUCGCUCGAACGAGCUUACGAUAUCAAACUACGAUAAUUUGAUACCAGAUUAGCAUACUCCCUUAAGGAACAACAGGAUAUUCGUUCUCAACGUUAAAUGUGAUAUAGACAUAUCGUGCAUUUAUGUACAUUACGCGUUUUGCCUCGUUCUUCCUUGAUGAACAAUUUAAUCGAUUCCCGACGAAUAACGUAGACACGAACGAAAUUGAAUUUUAUCGGCGUUAACCCGAAUUUCGAAAUUUCAAAGGAAGUGCGUAAAAGAUGCUGCGAGCGCGAGAGGCUUCAUCGUGGCCUUCUACAAUUCCCCAAAUACAGGUACAAAGAUGAAGCAAGCAGAGAAGAUGUAAAAGCUAUGACUUCAAAGAGAAUCCACGGUAUCUACGUCAAAGAAAGUACGGGACGUACAAGUGUACGACGGAUGUGCGGAACCUGUCAAGGGGAAACCUUCAAGAAUCUCCUAACUUUUCUCUAAGAAAAUGAAAGAACGUCGUUGACGUAUAUCUAAAUGUAAAAGAAAAUUUUUUACUUGUUACUUUGUACUCGCUAACGAGAUAAUUAGUAAUGCUGCUUGCUAGUGGAAAAAUUCGUCGGUCCUUAUCAAGACAGAGAAAAGAGCGCAUGACUCUCGUGCGAAAGAAAUGAAAAAAAGAAAAAAGAAAAGAACAAAACAAAACGAAUGCUAAACAGUAGGUACGUAUAUCGAAAAAUUGUUGAAAAUUGAAAGUAAUGGACUAGCCGCUGAAAAUGAGAAUCCGUUCGUAGGUAAUUGCUACAAACGUAUAUACUUAUGUAUGUAUAUUCAUGUGUGUGUGUGUGUGCGACACCCAAUACGCGAAUUACGCGUCACGAUCAAAGCACAUAUAGCAAAAUUCAAAUGUGCCGCGCUACGACGAAGCUCGCUAUCGUCGAUGGCGUCGCUAUCGUUCUUCAAUAUGGCGCUAGUUCAGGAUGACACGCAACGGUUGACAAGGAGCACGGGACCUCUACGGACGAGAUCUUUCCCUUUCUUUGCACCUUCCAAAGUUUCAAACUUUGCUCUAGGAGUGCGUGAACGAUUCGUAGAUUAGGCAAGAAAAGGGUAGCUAAAAGAUUCCAGAGUUUGCUAGUGUGCGUGUGUGUGGCGAGUAAGUGAGUCGAUCGACAAAGCGUUCUUGGUAAGAUACAUUGUUUAAAACCUCAGAGAAAGUGGAACAAAGAAUAGGACAAAGAGUAAAAAGGAUUGCCGCUAAUUGUACCGGGCGUACGUACGUGAGAAAAGGAACAACGGAGAGGAAAGCCUUGAAGAAAAAACCGAGAAUUGGUAUCAAAGGAGUUUGAUUCCUUAAUCGUAAGAAGAAAUACCACACGGCUCCUCUUCUUUUUCCCUCGAAGAGAAGAUAAAAAUCAAGUUUCGUCGGUCGACGGUAAAACCAG